rnacentral:tRNA from 2 species
CGUACGUUGGAGCAGAGGUCAGCUCGUCCGCAACAGAGCGGAAGGUCGAUGGUUCGAAUCCAUCACGUACAA